GUUUGCACACACCUAUGGUGUCGUCUUCCAAUCCAGAGGACAGCCAGAGAGAGAGACCUGCUGUCCUUUGUAUUAGGAGAUAACAUCACGGGCAGUAAAGUUGUGAGC